rnacentral:rRNA from 1 species
GGGUUGUGAGGUUAAGCGACUAAGCGUACACGGUGGAUGCCCGCAGUCAGAGGCGAUGAAGGACGUGCUAAUCUGCGAUAAGCGUCGGUGAGGUGAUAUGAACCGUUAUAACCGGCGAUUUCCGAAUGGGGAAACCCAGUGUGAUUCGUCACACUAUCAUUAACUGAAUCCAUAGGUUAAUGAGGCGAACCGGGGGAACUGAAACAUCUAAGUACCCGAGGAAAAGAAAUCAACCGAGAUUCCCAGUAGCGGCGAGCGAACGGGGAGGAGCCCAGAGCCCGAAUCCAGUGUGUGUGUGUUAGUGGAAGCGUCUGGAAAGGCGUGCGAUACAGGGUGACAGCCCCGUACACAAAAAUGCACAUAUUGUGAGCUCGAUGAGUAGGGCGGGACACGUGGUAUCCUGUCUGAAUAUGGGGGGACCAUCCUCCAAGGCUAAAUACUCCUGACUGACCGAUAGUGAACCAGUACCGUGAGGGAAAGGCGAAAAGAACCCCGGCGAGGGGAGUGAAAAAGAACCUGAAACCGUGUACGUACAAGCAGUGGGAGCCUCUUAAUGGGGUGACUGCGUACCUUUGUAUAAUGGGUCAGCGACUUAUAUUCUGUAGCAAGGUUAACCGAAUAGGGGAGCCGAAGGGAAACCGAGUCUUAACUGGGCGUUAAGUUGCAGGGUAUAGACCCGAAACCCGGGUGAUUCAGCCAUGGGCAGGUUGAAGGUUGGGUAACACUAACUGGAGGACCGAACCGACUAAUGUUGAAAAAUUAGCGGAUGACUUGUGGCUGGGGGUGAAAGGCCAAUCAAACCGGGAGAUAGCUGGUUCUCCCCGAAAGCUAUUUAGGUAGCGCCUCGUGAAUUCAUCUCCGGAGGUAGAGCACUGUUUCGGCAAGGGGGUCAUCCCGACUUACCAACCCGAUGCAAACUGCGAAUACCGGAGAAUGUUAUCACGGGAGACACACGGCGGGUGCUAACGUCCGUCGUGAAGAGGGAAACAACCCAGACCGCCAGCUAAGGUCCCAAAGUCAUGGUUAAGUGGGAAAACGAUGUGGGAAGGCCCAGACAGCCGGAUGUUGGCUUAGAAGCAGCCAUCAUUUAAAGAAAGCGUAAUAGCUCACUGGUCGAGUCGGCCUGCGCGGAAGAUGUAACGGGGCUAAACCAUGCACCGAAGCUGCGGCAGCGACACUAUGUGUUGUUGGGUAGGGGAGCGUUCUGUAAGCCUGUGAAGGUGGCCUGUGAGGGUUGCUGGAGGUAUCAGAAGUGCGAAUGCUGACAUAAGUAACGAUAAAGCGGGUGAAAAGCCCGCUCGCCGGAAGACCAAGGGUUCCUGUCCAACGUUAAUCGGGGCAGGGUGAGUCGACCCCAAGGCGAGGCCGAAAGGCGUAGUCGAUGGGAAACAGGUUAAUAUUCCUGUACUUGGUGUUACUGCGAAGGGGGGACGGAGAAGGCUAUGUUGGCCGGGCGACGGUUGUCCCGGUUUAAGCGUGUAGGCUGGUUUUCCAGGCAAAUCCGGAAAAUCAAGGCUGAGGCGUGAUGACGAGGCACUACGGUGCUGAAGCGACAAAUGCCCUGCUUCCGGUGAAAAGCCUCUAAGCAUCAGGUAACAUCAAAUCGUACCCCAAACCGACACAGGUGGUCAGGUAGAGAAUACCAAGGCGCUUGAGAGAACUCGGGUGAAGGAACUAGGCAAAAUGGUGCCGUAACUUCGGGAGAAGGCACGCUGAUAUGUAGGUGAAGCGACUUGCUCGUGGAGCUGAAAUCAGUCGAAGAUACCAGCUGGCUGCAACUGUUUAUUAAAAACACAGCACUGUGCAAACACGAAAGUGGACGUAUACGGUGUGACGCCUGCCCGGUGCCGGAAGGUUAAUUGAUGGGGUUAGCGGUAACGCGAAGCUCUUGAUCGAAGCCCCGGUAAACGGCGGCCGUAACUAUAACGGUCCUAAGGUAGCGAAAUUCCUUGUCGGGUAAGUUCCGACCUGCACGAAUGGCGUAAUGAUGGCUGUGCUGUCUCCACCCGAGACUCAGUGAAAUUGAACUCGCUGUGAAGAUGCAGUGUACCCGCGGCAAGACGGAAAGACCCCGUGAACCUUUACUAUAGCUUGACACUGAACAUUGAGCCUUGAUGUGGGAUAGGUGGGAGGCUUUGAAGUGUGGGACGCCAGUCUGCAUGGAGCCGACCUUGAAAUACCACCCUUUAAUGUUUGAUGUUCUAACGUGGGCCCCUUUACCGGGGUUGCGGACAGUGUCUGGUGGGUAGUUUGAUGGGGCGGUCUCCUCCCAAAGAGUAACGGAGGAGCACGAAGGUUGGCUAAUCCUGGUCGGACAUCAGGAGGUUAGUGCAAUGGCAUAAGCCAGCUUGACUGCGAGCGUGACGGCGCGAGCAGGUGCGAAAGCAGGUCAUAGUGAUCCGGUGGUUCUGAAUGGAAGGGCCAUCGCUCAACGGAUAAAAGGUACUCCGGGGAUAACAGGCUGAUACCGCCCAAGAGUUCAUAUCGACGGCGGUGUUUGGCACCUCGAUGUCGGCUCAUCACAUCCUCGGGCUGAAGUAGGGUCCCAAGGGUAUGGCUGUUCGCCAUUUAAAGUGGUACGCGAGCUGGGUUUAGAACGUCGUGAGACAGUUCGGUCCCCAUCUGCCGUGGGCGCUGGAGAACUGAGGGGGGCUGCUCCUAGUACGAGAGGACCGGAGUGGACGCAUCACUGGUGUUCGGGUUGUCAUGCCAAUGGCACUGCCCGGUAGCUAAAUGCGGAAGAGAUAAGUGCUGAAAGCAUCUAAGCACGAAACUUGCCCCGAGAUGAGUUCUCCUGACUCCUUGAGAGUCCUGGAAGGAACGUUGAAGACGACGACGUUGAUAGGCCGGGUGUGUAAGCGCAGCGAUGCGUUGAGCUAACCGGUACUAAUGAACCGUGAGGCUUAACCUUACAACGCCGAAG